rnacentral:pre_miRNA from 1 species
UGGUUUUGUCCCAAGUCAAACUUAUCUAACUUUGACCAAGUUUAUAGAAAAAUAUGUUGACAUCAAUAAUACCAAAAUAAGUGCACUAUCAAUAUAUUUCAUGGUGGAUUUAAUGAAUCUAAUUUGAUUUUGUAGAUGUUGGUGAUUUUUCCUAUAAACUUGGUCAAAGUUAUUGAAAUGUUUGACUUAUGACAAAAAUAA